rnacentral:rRNA from 1 species
UACAGAGGUCUCAAGCGUUUGUUCGGAUUCAUUUGGGGCGUAAAAGGGUGCGUAGGCGGCGCGGUAAGUCGGGUGUGAAAUCUUGGAGCUUAACUCCGAAACUGCAUUCGAUACUGCCGUGCUUGAGGACUGGAGAGGAGACUGGAAUUUACGGUGUAGCGGUGAAAUGCGUAGAUAUCGUAAGGAAGACCAGUGGCGAAGGCGGGGUCUCUGGACAGUUCCUGACGCUGAGGCACGAAGGCCAGGGGGAGCAAACGGGG